CCUACGGGGGGCAGCAGUCGAGAAUCAUUCACAAUGGGGGAAACCCUGAUGGUGCGACGCCGCGUGGGGGAAUGAAGGUCUUCGGAUUGUAAACCCCUGUCAUGUGGGAGCAAAUUAAAAAGAUAGUACCACAAGAGGAAGAGACGGCUAACUCUGUGCCAGCAGCCGCGGUAAUACAGAGGUCUCAAGCGUUGUUCGGAAUCACUGGGCGUAAAGCGUGCGUAGGCUGUUUCGUAAGUCGUGUGUGAAAGGCGCGGGCUCAACCCGCGGACGGCACAUGAUACUGCGAGACUAGAGUAAUGGAGGGGGAACCGGAAUUCUCGGUGUAGCAGUGAAAUGCGUAGAUAUCGAGAGGAACACUCGUGGCGAAGGCGGGUUCCUAGACAUUAACUGACGCUGAGGCACGAAGGCCAGGGGAGCGAAAGAGAUUAGAUACUCGAGUAGUC
rnacentral:rRNA from 1 species